UAAGUCAUCCUGUAAAGUGGCAUUAGAAGUUUGGGGUGGUUGCUCAUGAACCAUGAAGGACAUGAAUGGGAGAGAAGGCCCACAGGAGACCCCCUAAUGUAAGUGCAGUAGGUUGUGGAUACAAGCCUUGGAUUCCUCCUAUUUGGGCAUUCCCCAGGAUUGUAUGGUAAGUGGGAUGGCUACACACUCUUAUUUUAUAGUCAAAGAAAUUGAGGUCCAGAGAGGGAAAGAGAGACUUAGCUAAGUGCUUAGCAGUUGCAAAUAGUAUUGGCUGCAACUGGAGGGCAGAUGAAUAGCUGCCAGUCCUGGACCAAGAGUACCCUGUAGGGGCAGGGCAGCCAGAAUCAGCCAGCCAUCUGUGCCGACCUGAGCAGCCUGCCUCCCCUCUCCCUUCCCAGUCGCCCUUUGAACAGUUCUCUUGUUUCUGCUGGGAGUUUGAAGCAGCUGUUGUAAUGAUUCAAUUUGGACUGUUAAUGGGCUCUCCACAAUACUCAGGAUCCCAUACUUAAUCCGUAAAGGGACAAACAUUAGUCUUAAUGGGGAACUAACAGGAUCAGCUCUGGUCCACAGGGUGUCCCCUGAGAAUCCUGAUGGUCUGAAGUCUCUAGCCAGUACUAGCUGAGAGUCAUGAUUCUUUUUUUUUUUUAAUUAAAGCCUUAUAAUUAUACACAGUAUUUGGGUUCAUUUUGACAAAAUCAUACAUGCAAAGAAUUUGAUUUUAAUUUUCACCCCACCCUUUCCUGUCCUCCUCCCUCCCCCUAUUCUCCCUUAUCUACUCUACUAAACUUCCUUUCUUCUAUAUAUACAUAUAGAUGAAAUUCCAUUUGGCACCUUCAAAUAUGAAUAUACAUGAUUUUGUUAAGUCCAUUCCAUAUUUCCUCCCCUUUUCUUUCCUUCCUCUUUCACUUUUGCUCUCCUUCUACUCCAUUGAUUUCCCCUCUAUCUUUAUGAUAUCCCAUCUCCUCCCCCACUGCCUUCUCUCUCUUAUUUUGCUCCAGUUUCCUUCCAUAUAUGAGAGAAAACAUUUGACCCUUGAUUUUUCUGAGUCGGUUUAUUUUACUUAGUAUGAUUUUUUCUCCAUUUCUAUUUACUGGCAAAUGCCAUUAUUUCAUUCUUCUUUGUGGCUGAGUAAAACUCCAUUGUGUGUGUGUGUGUGUGUGUAUCUAUCUCAAAUUUUCUUGAUCCACUUAUCUAUUGACUGGCAUCUGGGUUAUUUCCAUAAUUUGGCUAUUGUGAAUUUUGCUGCUAUAAACACUGAAGUGUUUACUAUAUUGUUAUAGUAUGCUGAUUUUAGAUAAUUUGGAUAAGUACCAAGGAGUGGGAUUGCUGGGUCACAUGGUGAUUCCAUUCCUAGUUUUUUGAGGACUCUCCAUAGUUCUUUCCAGAGUGGUUGUACUAAUUUGUAGUCACACCAAAAUGUAAGAGUGUACCUUGGCAGGGCUGUCUUGUGGGAAGAGCUGAAGGAGGUGCUCUGGGCUGGGCUUGACCUGCUGCAUUCGGUGGAAGAACAUGCCACCAAGCCACUGUCAUGCCUGAGGACCUACAGGAAGGCUUCGGCGGCGUGGUCACCAACAAAUUCGACCAGUUAUUUGACGACCAAUCAGAUCUCAAUUCAGGUGCUGAAGGCAGCAGAGAAUAAGAAAAAAAGAAGCCGACAAAAGUGGCAUUGGGGGACCUGGGACCAAGAGCACAGCUUAGGCCAUGGCCCAGUCCAUCUCCAAUGUGGCAGGCAAACAGCUGUGUAAAGAGUCCCAGAAAGAGCACUGUAGCUCAGCAUUAGAGUGCUUGCCUAGUAGGCAUGAGGCCCUCAGCAUCACAUAAAGAUAAAUAAAAUAAAGGUAUUGUGUCCAUCUACAACUAAUAUAUUUAUAUAUCCUAGAAAGAUGCAAGAACUCACUGCCUCCCAACGUUGGUGUGGCUGACAAGAAAGAGAAGAUACAGCCAGCCGUGGCGCUUGAGAAAGCAGGAAUAAGAAGUGUUGGAAGAAGACCUAAUCAACAUUUCAAGGUGAGGGGAUAGAAGACCAGAUAAUUGGUAGAAGACCAACAAGGUGACCACCUUAUGAAAGAAAAUUUGAAAAGCCACUUUUUGAAAAGGGUGAAGGAGGUGAAUUUUCAGUUGAAAGAUAAUCAACCAACCCAUCUGAGGUCAAGGAGAUGGAUUUUUAAAAAUAUUUUAUUUUUUAGCUUUAGAUGGACACAAUAUCUUUAUUUUAUUUUUAUGUGGUGCUGAGGUUCGAACCCAGGGCCUCACACUAUGCUAUGUGUGGGAUCUAUCUCUGAGCCACAACCCCAGCCCAGGGUGAUUUGAUUUUGGUGGCAAACGUAAAUUUGAUAGGCACAGUGGAAGUGACAGCCUCUUUUUUACAUUAUAGUGGCCUGAAGCAUGAGGAUAAAAGUAGAGGUAGCGGAUCUCACCCCUGGGAACUGUCCCAAGGUGAAUUAACUGACUUGGAUCAAUCAAAUGUGACUGAGGAAACAUCUGAAGGUGAAGAACAUCUAGGGGCAGACACUGAAAACAAGGAAAAUAAAGUUGAAGAGGUUAAGGCAGAGGGUCCAAAAGAGAUGACUUUGGAUGAAUGGAAGCCUAUUCAAAAUAAAGACGGUGCAAAGGUAGAAUUUAAUUUUUGUAAACCAAAUGAAGGUGCCAACAGGCAAUGGAAGAAGGGAUUUGUUCUCCAUAAAUCAAAGUGUAAAGAGGCUCAUGCUGGAGAUUUGGUUAUGGACCAUCAUUUCAGGAAGCCAGCAAGUGACAUAAUGUCUCAGCUAGAUAUCAAUUUUGGAGACCUAGGCCAAUCAGGACUUGGUGACAAGGGAGGAUGAGGUGGACCUGGGUUUGGUGGACUUCCAAACGGUGGCAGCAGGACUGACAUGUCAAGCACUUCUGCCCCUGAUGUGAAUGACCUAGAGGCAUCCCCAGCUCUGGCUUAACUGGAUUCCAUAAAACAACCUUAGUUCCUUUGUAGACCCUCCUGUUCAAAGCUUUUGCAUGCUUAAGGAUCCCAAAGGAUAAACAAACAAACAAACAAACAAACAAAUAGACUGUCAUUCAUACCAUUCAUGCCUAAAGACUUUAGACUGAAUUUUGUCUGUUUUGGAAAUGAACUUCUCCCACUACACAGAAGUAACAAAUAUGGCAGUCAGUUUUGUAUUUAGAAAUGUAUUGGUAGCAGGGAUGUUUUCAUAAUUUUCAGAGAUUAUGUAUUCUUUAUGAA
rnacentral:lncRNA from 1 species